AACGAACGCUGGCGGCAGGCUUAACACAUGCAAGUCGAACGCCCCGCAAGGGGAGUGGCAGACGGGUGAGUAACGCGUGGGAACAUACCCUUUCCUGCGGAAUAGCUCUGGGAAACUGGAAUUAAUACCGCAUACGCCCUACGGGGGAAAGAUUUAUCGGGGAAGGAUUGGCCCGCGUUGGAUUAGCUAGUUGGUGGGGUAAAGGCCUACCAAGGCGACGAUCCAUAGCUGGUCUGAGAGGAUGAUCAGCCACAUUGGGACUGAGACACGGCCCAAACUCCUACGGGAGGCAGCAGUGGGGAAUAUUGGACAAUGGGCGCAAGCCUGAUCCAGCCAUGCCGCGUGAGUGAUGAAGGCCUUAGGGUUGUAAAGCUCUUUCACCGAUGAAGAUAAUGACGGUAGUCGGAGAAGAAGCCCCGGCUAACUUCGUGCCAGCCGCCGCGGUAA
rnacentral:rRNA from 1 species